rnacentral:tRNA from 1 species
AAGUUUCAAUGGUUACACCAUAUCCUCAAGUUUGCAACUUAAUAUUUUUAUAAUAAACUAUGAAACC